UGGCUUUAUGCUUCCCCUGUAUCAGACAAAGAAGAGCAUCUUUUUUUCUCCUUUUAACCCCCCCAAUCUCAUGAUAGAAUUUCAAUGCCUGCAUUAGCCUCUUCCAUUUAACUCCUUGCUGCAUGAGAUGAUGUGUUAUCCAAGGAGGUGAACAUGAAAUUCCCAUAAAACAUGGCUUCUUUAUCUGUUAAGGAAAGACAAUGGACUUCCCGGCGUACAUAUCUUGCCAUUGCCUGGACAGCCCGUAAUGCAGUAGCAUCUGGCUCUGAUGUCCCAUCAUCAGAAAAGACAUUUCUCCAUACCACCUUCUCUAGCUCAUCAGAUUUAGCCUCUGGAAGCAUGGCAGCAUCAUAAGCAACAAUAUUUCCAUAGAAUAUCUUCUCCAAUUCUUUCAUCCAUUUAGUCAACAAUAAGUUAACCCCUGCUUUAGAUACUCUUAGCUCCACAUCAUGAUUAUAAAUAUCAUACAGGUACUGCCCAAAUUCAACGCCCUCCUUUCCCUCCUGUUUCAGACGGCGUAAGCAAAGCCACAUAUGGAGUACAAGCAAUGAGA
rnacentral:misc_RNA from 1 species